AGGAAACUCUGACGCAGUAACGCCGCGUGAGGGAGGAAGACCUUCGGGUUGUAAACCUCUUUUUGUAGAGACGAGCGAGGACGGUAUCUAUAGAAUAAGUCUCGGCUAACUACGUGCCAGCAGCCGCGGUAAGACGUAGGAGGCGAGCGUUAUCCGGAAUCACUGGGCGUAAAGCGCAUGUAGGCGGCUGUACAAGUCGUGUGUUAAAGCCCCUGGCUCAACUGGGGAGGUCAUGCGAGACUGUGCGGCUGGAGGGCAGGAGAGGCACGUGGAACUCCCGGUGUAGCGGUGGAAUGCGUAGAGAUCGGGAAGAACAUCAGUGGCGAAGGCGACGUGCUGGGCUGCACCUGACGCUGAGAUGCGAAAGUGUGGGGAGCAAACGGGAUUAGAUACCCCGGUAGUCCACACCCUAAACGAUGAACUCUAGGUGUGGGUGGGAAAACCAUCCGUGCCGAAGCCAACGCGUUAAGAGUUCCGCCUGGGGACCAUGAGCGCAAGCUUA
rnacentral:rRNA from 1 species